ensembl:lncRNA
UUGUAAGUGCAUCUUGGUGAGUUCGAAUAAUAUUCUAUCUUCGGAUAUGAAUUUGAAUUUCAGCAGGAAGGACUGAUGAAGUACAUUAGUUUCCUCGUUAGAUGAGCAGAUAACUGUCAUAAACAUCUGACAAUAAUGUGUCUGUGUAGUCAGUCUAGUUGGGUGAAGAUCACUACAUGUAAAGUCAUAUAAGAAAUCAAUACCUGAUCAAAACACAGUGGACUAUCAGACCCCAUUAUGAUGUUCAUUGUUUUUAAAAGAGUUGUGUGGUCACUGUUGACUAUCAUCUCUUUAUUCCUGUGUAAGUAUAAGCUAGUAGUGUUUGAUUAAUUAUUUAAUUUUUUUAUUUUAAAUAUAGUUGGUUGCUUU